rnacentral:rRNA from 1 species
GAAGAAGUCCCGGCAAACUCCGUGCCAGCAGCCGCGGUAAUACGGAGGGGGCAAGCGUUGUUCGGAAUUAUUGGGCGUAAAGGGCAUGUAGGCGGUUCGGUAAGUUAAAGGUGAAAUGCCAGGGCUUAACCCUGGAGCUGCUUUUAAUACUGCCAGACUCGAGUCCGGGAGAGGAUAGCGGAAUUCCUAGUGUAGAGGUGAAAUUCGUAGAUAUUAGGAGGAACACCAGUGGCGAAGGCGGCUAUCUGGUCCGGUACUGACGCUGAGGUGCGAAAGCGUGGGGAGCAAACAGGAUUAGAUAC